AGAGUUUGAUCCUGGCUCAGGACGAACGCUGGCGGCGUGCCUAAUGCAUGCAAGUCGCACGCACCUUCGGGUGAGUGGUGCACGGCUGAGGAACACGUGGCUAACCUGCCCAUGAGUGGGGGAUAACGGGCCGAAAGGCUCGCUAAUCCCGCAUACGAUCCGCGCAAGUGGAGGAAAGCCGCAAGGCGCUCAUGGAGGGGGCCGCGCCCCAUUAGAUAGUUGGUGUGGUAAUGGCGCACCAAGUCCGUGAUGGGUUCCGGGUCUGAGAGGACGAUCCGGCAGACUGGGACUGAGACACGGCCCAGACUCCUACGGGAGGCAGCAGUCGGGAAUCUUGCGCAAUGGGCGAAAGCCUGACGCAGCAACGCCGCGUGAGCGACGAAGGCCUUCGGGUCGUAAAGCUCUGUUGUUGGGGACGAAGGGUUAGGGGUUAAUAGCCCCGAGCCUGACGGUACCCUUCGAGGAAGCCCCGGCUAACUACGUGCCAGCAGCCGCGGUAAUACGUAGGGGGCGAGCGUUGUCCGGAAUUAUUGGGCGUAAAGAGCGUGUAGGCGGCCCGGUAAGUCCGCCGUGAAAACUCGGGGCUCAACCCCGGGCUUGCGGUGGAUACUGUCGGGCUAGAGGGUGGUAGAGGGGAGUGGAAUUCCCGGUGUAGCGGUGAAAUGCGCAGAUAUCGGGAGGAACACCAGUAGCGAAGGCGGCUCCCUGGGCCAUUCCUGACGCUGAGACGCGAAAGCGUGGGGAGCAAACAGGAUUAGAUACCCCAGUAGUCC
rnacentral:rRNA from 1 species